UUGAGAUUUGGGUGUUGGUUGAACUUGGGUUUGUGGUGUUUUUGAACUUGAGUUUGUGUCUUUGUUGAACUUGAGUUUGUGGCGUGUUUUAACUUGAGUUUCUGUUGUUUUUGAACUUGAAGUUGUGGAAAUUGUUGAACUUGAGAUUUGGGAUUUGGUUGAACUUGACUUUGUUUCAUGUUUGAACUUGAGUUUGGGGUGUUUUUGAACUUGAACUUGUGUGUUUUUUGAACUUGAGUUUGUGUUGUUAAGAACUUGAGUUUGUGGUGUUUUUGAAAUUGAGUUUGUGUGUUUGUUGAACUUGAGGUUGUGGCAAUUGUUAAACUUGAUAUUUGGGUGUUGGUUGAACUUCAAACUUUGGAAUUUGUUGAUCUUGAGUUUGUGGUGUUCGUUGAAUUCAGUUUCAGCAUUUUUUUAACUUGAGUUUGUGUGUUUUUGAACUUGAGUUUGUGGCAAUUUUUGAACUUGAGUUUGUUGAACUUGAGUUUUUGGCA